AAUCAUUGUAUCUGUCUCUAAUUUCUCUAUCAUCAUGGUCAAAGUACCCAAAAUUGAUUGACUAGAUCUGGUAUAGAUCCCACACCCACACACAUCGUGUCAACACGGUGCAGCACCGAAACUUAAAGAGUCCAGGCAACUUAGAUUCUAGUCAUGAGGGCCCAAGUAAAAUACUCAAAUUUGUUGUUCAGUGAGGAUGGAUUAAGGAUGUGGCAACUGAAGCAGCUCAAGUACCUUACACUUAUUCUAUGCAAAAACAGAUCAAACAAGGUAUAUGAGUUCAUUGAAUGUUUCAGGAAUGGGUGAAAAAAAUUACAAGUACAAAACAAGAGUCUUUAAAUAAAAUGGUUAUGGUGGUUUAACCAGGAAGAAAAUGUUCAAUGAUGCACAGUGAUGAAAGAGAAAUUUGGUUUAAUGAAAGAGUGCCACACAAGGAACAGAUCCAAAAUCGCUGUGGCUACUUCUGUAUAACACAAUGGAUAAAAGAUUGGCAAUGGAAGGAAACAUCUUCUCGGCAUGACAACAGGAUACACAACUUACCAUCGAAGAUGCAAUUCCCAUUUUUGAUCAACAUGGCACAAGAAUCAAAUUUUACUGUGGGAGACAGAAGAGAAGGGACAGGUGGAACAUAUGUUCCAGAUGGCAUCUUAAUGACCGGGAGAUGGAGGUGUGGAUCAACUUUUCUGGAAGGCGAGUGACUUCAUGAGAAGGCACAGGUGGAACAUAUAUUCCAGAUGGCAGCUUAAUGACUGGGAGAUGGAGAAGGUGCGGAUCAACUUUUCUAAAAGGUGAGUGACUUCAUUAUUAUACCAUGCAACAAGGCCAUAAGCAGAUCCCACCAGAUUCCAUCGUGACCUUGGAAGAGGAUUUGAAGAUCAAGAGCUUCCUAUGAAGGGCCUUGUUUUGUACGGCUUGCAUAAAGGAAGGAUGCAUUGUAAAGGAAGCAUGCCUAACGCAAGACAACCUACAAAGAGCAAUAAUGUUACUUAUCUAGUGAGGGAAAUGCAAGUAUCAGCCACCAAUAAGUUUUUGAUAAUCAUGAUGUCUGGACCAGCUAGCCACACCUUGGCUCACAGGUUACUUGUUACCUCCCACAGGCACAAGUACCGGGCAAAUAACUAGUUGUCUAGUUUUCAACAUUCUGGGAUUAUCAUGCCUAGACUAAACUCAAGUUUAUCUGCUGCAGGAACAGGAAGAUCUUAAUAAGAAGAUGAAGAAUACCCGGUAUACCAACUUGGUGGACGUCAUGGAAAGAACAGAAGGCAUUUUAAGGCAAAAAGAUACUAAUUGUUUUUAAAAUAAAAGCUGACUGCCUACUACAGAUCAUUUAUUGGUUUAAUCUAGAACUGGUAUAUGGUAUUGAACCUCGGUAAACUUUCUUAGCUCCCUGCACAGUAGAAGGGAAUUAUCUUUUGGUUUCGGCUUAUUUGGAUGUAAGCUAUAACACCAACUUAGUGCUGGUUUCAUCAAUUAAACUUAACUUCUGUAAAAAAAAAAAAAUCUAGAAUUUGUCAGUUUUUGUGUUUGUGGUACCAUGAGAAACUGUGGGGCAC
rnacentral:lncRNA from 1 species